UACGUAGGGGGCAAGCGUUGUCCGGAAUCAUUGGGCGUAAAGAGCGUGUAGGCGGCCCGAUAAGUCCGCUGUGAAAGUCCAGGGCUCAACCCUGGGAUGCCGGUGGAUACUGUCGGGCUCGAGUCCGGAAGAGGAGUGUGGAAUUCCUGGUGUAGCGGUGAAAUGCGCAGAUAUCAGGAGGAACACCAAUGGCGAAGGCAGCACUCUGGGACGUGACUGACGCUGAGGGAGCGAAAAGCGUGGGGGAGCGAACAGG
rnacentral:rRNA from 1 species